GAGGAAGGGGGGAGGGGGGAGAAAUACAUGAAAGUUGAGCGCUGAAGGUUGGUACUUGUAGUAACUGGAUGAGGAGGGAAAGGGUGAGUAAAGCGUGGGGAAUUUGCUUUUGAGAGGGGGACAAUAUUUGGAACAGAGUGCUAAUACCGCAUAAAAACUUUAAACACAAGUUUUAAGUUUGAAAGAUGCAAUUGCAUCACUCAAAGAUGAUCCCGCGUUGUAUUAGCUAGUUGGUGAGGUAAAGGCUCACUAAGGAGAUGAUACAUAGCCGACCUGAGAGGGUGAUCGGCCAAAUUGGGACUGAGACACGGCCCAAACUCCUACGGGAGGCAGCAGUAGGGAAUCUUCGGCAAUGGACGAAAGUCUGACCGAGCAACGCCGCGUGAGUGAAGAAGGUUUUCGGAUCGUAAAACUCGGUUGAUAAAGAAAAACGUUGGUGAGAGUGGAAAGCUCAUCAAGUGACGGUAACUACCCAGAAAGGGCCGGCUCCCUACGUU
rnacentral:rRNA from 1 species